UUUCUUCUUCCUCUGCUUCAGAUAUUCCCAGAGACAUCAGAGCAGCUGCCUCAAAAUCCCGGGCAAGCCAUCUUUCAGUUUUGAAACUUCCUUCUGGAAACUUGGUUCAUGAACCGAGCAGGAAAAAUGGCUUCCAAACCAUAAAUUCUGGAGAAAUGAAGCCUCUUAUUAGGACUAAUAUGAGAAAUGAUGAAGCAAACUGUAACUCAAAGGUGGUUGAGGAGCUUUACGCUAUAAUGGAAGCUGUUGCGGACAGAUCAGAAAUGCACAAAAAUAUUGGCGUGCAGCGCGAUAAUUGGAACCGUCUUCUCCUCAACUCUGUAAAUGGGAUGACAGUCACAGCUGCAACAAUGGCUGGACUUGCAUUUCUGAGUGGUGGGGGUGCAACACUUUUGGCCUUGAAGCUCUCUUCCACCCUACUCUACACAGCGGCUACUGGAAUUUUGAUGGUGAUGAACAAUAUUCAGCCAUCUCAGCUUGCAGAAGAGCAAAGGAAUGCAGCUAGACUGUUUAAGAACCUUCACCAGCAAAUCAAGACUGUUGUUGCAGUUGGAAGCCCCAGUUUGAAUGAUGUGAACGCUGCAAUGGAGAAGGUGUUGGCGCUGGACAAGGCCUAUCCCCUUCCCUUGCUAGGGACGAUGCUCGAGAAGUUCCCAAAGACUGUGGAGCCUGCAGUGUGGUGGCCAAGAGAAGUGGGGUCUCAACAUGAGAAGGUGAGUGGGGGGGUGGAGAGAAAUGGGUGGAGUGAGAAGCUUGAGGAGGAGAUGAGGGAGGUUGUUGGGGUGCUGAAGAGGAAGGAUGCUGCAGAGUAUGUGAGGCUAAGCAAACUAGUAUUGAAAGUAAACAAAAUUCUAGCCAUAUGUGGCCCUCUUUUCACUGGCAUCGCCGCCAUGGGAUCGGCGAUGGUGGGAUCCUCACCUUGGAAUGGGUCGUGGGCUGUGGUGUUGGGUGUGGUGUUUGGAGCUCUGGCCACAGUGGUAAACACACUGGAGCAUGGUGGGCAGGUGGGUAUGGUGUUUGAGAUGUAUAGAAGCACUGCCGGGUACUUUCAACUCAUGGAAGAGACCAUAGAAUCAACUUUGAAGGAGAAAGAAGUAGGGGAAAGGGAAAAUGGAGAAUUAUUUGAAGUGAAAGUGGCUCUUCAGCUUGGAAGGAGCCUUCCUGGGCUUCAAAACCUAGCCACCACUCAUCCUCCUUCCCCUUCCAAUGAAUUUGCAAGCAAGCUCUUCUGAUUUUGAUUCUUCUGUACCUAGGUUAUAGUCUUAUUAAUUUUUGUAUACUGUCAGUAUAUUAAUUAACAAAAAAUACUGAUCAGAAUUCAUAAAUGGGUUCUCUGUAGAUCAGUUUGUAUCCAACUCAUAGCAAAGAAUUUUUUAACCAAAUAUUAUGUUUCAACAAAAACGUGAUAAUUAAUAUUGUUCCCUAUGAUUAGCGGAAGAGUAUCAGUUUCUGUGUAGAUGAUAUGCUUUCCCAGUCAAGCACGUGCCAUGAUCAUUAUACUAUACACAUAUUAUUGAAUUAGAAUCAUACUGUAGCUGAACUUAAUUUUGUACGGUGGGCAAGAUAAUGUAGGUCCACACGCUAGAGGAACAUUGAGAUGAUGUACGGUUGACUCUCUUUUCUUCUCCUUACUAAACAGUAUGAAAUUUACAAAAAGAAGAAUUACACAGCAUGGUCCUCAAAGUCCACUAAUACGCCAACAUAUUUGAGAAAUUGAUUUGUUACCAACCAUUUGGUGGGGAUAAAGGAGGAAACAUUAUAAGAUAAAGGGAAGCAUCCCAUUUGGUGGAAAUAAAGGAGGAAACAAUGUAACAUAAAUGAAAAGACCCUUCGUUUUCAAGAUUAAAAGGCCACUCAGGCUUUAAUAUUAAAAGGAUUAUUAAAAACUCAAAUUUUGAUAUUUAAUCCUUUAUCUUUUUUGGUUUCAUUUUGAUAAAAAUGCAUUCAAAAUAUUUUUUUUUUUUAAAAAAAAAAUCUAUAUGUAAAUAUUUGGAAUGAUAAAGUAUAUUUAUAUCCAAAAUAUGUUAUUUUUAAAGUAAAAACAUGAGAAAAAUUAGAUUCACAAAUUUGAAAAUUAUUUCAUCUAUUUUGAUCAAUUAUUUUUUUUUAAUAAUGCUUUUUAAAAAAUAAAAUUUGAUAAAAAUGUGUAUGAUAAAAUUUAGCUUUGCAAACUCAUCAACUAUGCUUCUUAAGAUUACAAUUGGUUGAAAGUACUUUUAAACACUAAAGAGCUCGAAAAAUGACUUAAAAUCAAUCACUACAAAAACUUAGGCUUUUAACCGUGAAUAAAAUUAUUGUUAAUAGUUUAAAAUUUGUCAAUAAAAGAUUUAGUGACGAUAUCUUGGUUGAUCGAUAAUAUUUAUUUAUUUAUUUUUCUCUCCUUAAGAGAGAAUUAUGUUUUACAAUGUGGAGGUAUGAAAGAUAUAAAACUUUAAAAAUCAAUGGAAAAAUUCAUAAUGAGUAAAAAAACAUAAAAAUACCAUUUUUUUUUUUAUAUUUUCCUUUAUUUUAUCAUAUUAUUAUUAUUAUUAUUUAUAAGUUUAUUAUUAUUAUUAUUAUCAUUGUUAUAGUUGAACAACAUUGAAUUUUAUAGACAAGAUAUGAAAAUCCCACUACAUAACAAAAACCAGCAAUUAUAUCAAACUAGAUAUAGCUAAUGGAGAGAACGGAGCCCAUACAAGAGAUUCACUCCACAUGGCUUAAAUUUUUUUUUUUUAAAAAAAAAAAAAGCAAGCCUUAGAAAAGCUUGCUACUAAAUAUAUAUAUAUAUAUAUAUAUAUAUAUAUAUAUAUAUAUAUAUCAAGAGCAACCUAGGAAUGAACCAUUUGAUUUUAGGUAAAAGGAGGAUAGUGUAAGGACUAUCAUUAUUGAUGCAAUUAGGUCUGGAGUGAAAUCUAACAUUUCUAAAGCAUUUGAUCAGGAUAAAUUAGACUUUAAUUAAGAAUAUAUUUGACAAUGUCUAUAUUCAAAAUGUUUUUAGUGAAAAUGUUUUUUUAAAAUAAAAAAAAAAGUGUUUUGAGAAGAAUCAUCUAUAUAAUGAUUUAAAAAAAAUUUAAAGUGUUUCUUAAAAUUUAUUAAAUACUUAAUUUUUUUUUUUCAAAAAUGCUUUUGAGAUUAAAAUUGAUUUCUAAAAUCAUUAGCAAAUGACAACAUUUAACUACUUUACCUUGGAUAGCAUAACUUGCAACACCAUAGGGCUAAGUAAAGUAGGAGAUUCCCUUCCAAAAGUAGCCACUUCAUGUGAGCUAGAGAAACAGUUAUCUCGUGUCCUCAAUUCACUAAAUAAAUUAAAACAUAAAACAUUAAAAGCAAGAGACCUUUGUAAUGAACUAAGAAAGCCUUUGUAGGCCAUUUGACACCUUUGAUGGGCGAACAAGAAUUAAUAAAAUAUUGCACAUCAAAAAGUGGGGGCAUCCCAAGUACACCGAACAUAUAUAAAGGAUAUCAAAAUAACAAAAGGAACUACCUCAAAUAUGCAUUAAAAAAAUCUCUUUUAUAAACUAAAACUCAACUAAUUAAUAAAAUCUAACAAGUAUAAAAAGCGAUCUUGAAUAUAUUGGCAAGUCCAUUAUAAUUACCAAAGAAUCCAAAACAAUCAAUCAAAGAGGGAUUGUCCUCCAAACUUUCUUUUUAUUUUUGCUCACCAAACUCCAUGAGAACCCUUUAACAAAUCCUUCAUAGAAAAAAUGGAGGAACUAAAAAAAAAACCAAAGAAGGAAAGAACAUAAUAUCAAAGACCCCUUGUCUUUCAACAAUGGAUUAGUAUGUGAUUGACUGAUUAUUCUGAACUCAUAUAUAAGCAAGAAUGAUUAGCCACUAACCAUCAUCUUCUCUUAAGUUGAUCUAGGGUCAAAAACCUUUUUCAUAUCCCAAUCAAUACCCACUUUUAAAGUCAUGAGAGAACCCUAUAGUACAUUCAAGAUAAAAAAAUGCUCUUUCAUAUAACACUAUUUUCACUCUUUCUAGUAUUUCAAAUCAGCUUAUCUUCAUUCUUAUUGCACUUUCUAAGCAUUUGAAGCCUCCUAAGUAACUCCUCAAUGCUAUAUAACUCUCAAUCUUAGAACUAUCUUGUGAAACCCAACUUCCAAACAGCAUGUUUGCUUAUGACCUCAUAAGUAUUCCCCACGUAAGACUCUUUAUUAGAUGUAGGAAAGAAAAAGGAAAAAAAAAAAAGGAAAAGAAUCCUUUAAAUGAGUACCCUCACACCAAACAUCGUGCCAAUUUUCUCCAUUGCUAACAAAAAGUCUUUGCUCUAGCCUUAAAGACUUCCCAACAUCUUCUUACUGCCUUCUCAAGUCAACAUUAUACCCCUUUCUCUUAGCAAGAGAGCACCAUUUUCCAAGUUCUUCCUUGAACUUUCCCACUGUAACUCAUCUAGUCCAAAGAACUCUUUCUUCAAAGCAAAUCUCCAACACCAUUUUCCAAGCAACACUUAGGACAAAACCCUAAUGCUUGACCCUCUCAACUUUUUAUCUUUACAAAGAGAAGACCAAUUGAGUAGGUGAGGUUAUUCUUUAGAGUUCCUCCCCUCCUCCCCCACAAGAAGUUCCAUUGAAUUUUUUACAAUCUUAAAGCUAACACUUUAUAAAUGUCAAGAAGAGAUACAAAAUAAAUAGGACAACUGUAUAAAGUACUUUGAAACAAAGUAAAUCUGGUUUUCAUCCUUUGAAAGAUAUUGUAUUUUCCAAAAAGCUACAUUUUUAUGAAAACUCUCCUCAGCCACAUCACAUAUAAAUGAGGCUUGAAUUGGCCACCCAAAGACAAGCCUAAAUAAGUACUUGGAAGCUUCCCCAUUUUACAACCUAACAAAGAGGCAAGUUCCUCGACAUGAGGGACCUCCCCACAUGAAUCAAUUCAUUUUUAUCCAAAUUAACUUUCAAUCUUGAAGAAGCUUCACACCAAAAUUGUAUCCUAGAUCCUAUAUGAGCUUUAAGGAACCCAAUUCCUAACAAAGAGGAUUUUUUUUUUCUUAAAAAAAAAAAAAAAAAAGGAUUAGUUGGAAAUAAGAUGAAACAAGUAGGCAUUAUGACAUGGUUUCCCAAAGAGGCUGAGUCCAUAUUAACAACAUGAUAACCAUAAAGAAAAACAAUUGGAAAUAAAUAGUCUUGCCUCCACUCUUCUUGGGAUGACGUUAAAACUGGGUUAGGUUGAUUUGAACCCACUCAAAUUACACCCCUGUUCAUGCAUACAAAAAAACACAAUAGAAAAAGACUUUUGAAUAUUGCAUAUAUAUGGUGUUUACAUUUAACAAGAAGUCCUUAUUUUCUUUGGUCAUCAAGUGUUGUUGUGUUAACGGAAACAUUAAUGCAAACAUAUUAAAUGAAGAAUAUAGAAAUCAAGUAAAUCACACAAAAGGUACACGAGGUUUUAACGUGAUUCGACUAAUUAUGCUUACCUUCACAAAUAAGAGAGAAUAUUCCAUCAUAUGAUAAAGAAUAUUAUAAAAGAUAAAAAUUAUAUACAACUACUAGAUCCCUUUGUAUCUUCAUUCUGAACCAUGAGCCUUUUUAUUCCACCAGGUGUUUUUCGCUCUUCCUCACAUCUCUAUCUUAUCUCUCUUUCAUCACUUUUUUCCCUCAUGAUCUAAAAUAUUUAUAAAAAUAUUCUCAUUAGCUUUCCUUAUUCUAUAAGAAGUCUAAUUACAAUAACAUAUAAAAAAAGUAUACUCUAAAUGGGAAUUUGAGACACUUUCCCAACAAUCUCCACCCUGAAUUAAAUUUCAUUAAGGCAAUCUUCCAUCUCUCCAUGAUCUACCAUUUCCUUGCGCACAUCGCUCUCCUCAUGUGUCAUUGUUCCCUUUAUGCGCCACAUUCUUAUUACAUGACACAAUCUUCUUGUUUCUUGUAUUAUUGGUGAUAAAAAAUUGACUUCACAUUCAACUAAAUUUCUUUUUGUAAUUUUCUUUUAUGCUCUAACAUCUUUAUUCUUCGUGAAAUUUUCAAAUAAGAUUAUUCGAAACAUCUUCAACCAAGGUUCUUUUAGGCAUCUUCACUUAAGGCUUUCCCAGACAUCUUCAACUAAAGCUCUAACACCACUUGUUGUGUUAGCAAAAUCAUUUUAAAGAAGAACACGAAAAUAAAGCAAAUCACACAAAAGACACAAAGUUUUAAUGUGGUUCAGCUAAUCAUGCUUACUUUCAUGGAUGAGAGAAGACAUUCCAUUAUAGGAUAGAAAAUAUCAUAGAGGACGAAAAAUAAAUACAACUAUUGAGUCCCUUUAUAUCUCCAUCGUGAACAAUGAGCUUAUUUGCUUCACUAGUUAUCUUUCACUAUUCUUCAUCAUAUCUACACCCUAAUGAUCAGUUUUUUUGCUCUAUCAGUGUCUCUAUCUCAGAUAUCUUUUGCAUAACUUAGUCCUCUUAUAACUUAAAAUAUUUAUAGAGAUAUACCCAUCAACUUUCCUUAUUGUAUAAGGAGUGUAAUUACAAUAAAAUAUAAAAUUAGAAAAUAUUUUAUAUAAUAUUUUAAAUAUAUAUAUAUUCUAAAUGCGAAUUUGAGAGAUCCUCCCAAUAGGUGUGUCAUUCAUUACGUACUCCUUAGUCUUUGGGAAAAUUCUAGGGUACCUCUUCGAUACCUACCGAAAAAGUUUUCCAAGCCAUUGGAUGUCCAAGAUUACAUCUUGGCCAUCCAUUUUAAAUUUGAAAUAAAAAUUCCACUGAAUCGGUUAAGGGAAGAACCGGUUGUGGCCUUCUUUCUUCCUCCAUUCUCAACAAUUUUGGGUUUAAAUAAAAUAAAUAUUAGAUAAAAGUAGAAUUGGAAAAAAAAUAAAAAUAAAAAUAAUAUAAAAUUUGAAAACAUAUUCAUUAAAAAAAAAUCAUCAUAUAUCAUAAUUAUAUUAUUUUAUUUUUAACAAAUUAUUAAACAUUUAAAUUCAACAUAAAAAUGAAUAUGAUAAUAUUUUAAUAUGAAAUGAGUAUUUUCAUUAAAAUUCAACAUUUUGAUAAUCAUAUGUAAAACUUAGGUAAUUAGACCAUCCUAAUUGUUUUCCGUACUUUCCAAAUUUUACAUUUUUUGAAUUUAAGGUUUUUAAAGUUACAUUACAAUAAAAUAAAUUACUAAUACUCUUUUAAGUUACUAAUGAUAAUAUUUUCGAAAAUAAAUUUGUAAUUUAAAAAAUUUUUAAACUAAAAAUCAAUAUGAAAAAUGUGAUGAAAGUACCAAACAUGUAUUUAUCACAUUUUUCGCACCGUUCUCAUAUUUUUUGUACCCUAAAUUAUUUAUAUUUUUAAAAUUUCAGAUUUACUUUUUAACUUGAAAUAACAAUAACAUGGUUUAAUAAUAUUAUUUUGAGUUAUUAUUAAUAGAAUUGUUAAAAAAAAAAAAAAAGAAUUAAAAAAAAUAAAAUAGGAAAUAAUGUAAAUUAUCCUAAAAAAAUUAGAAAAUUAAAACACUAAAAAAUUAGAGAGAAUAUGAAAAAUGUGAGAAAAGGUAUGAAGAUUAUGAGAAAUCCUCACAUUUUUCAUACCUUACAUCACAUUCUCCGUACCCUGAAAUUUAACAAAUUUUCAAAUUUUUCAAUUUUUUUCCACUUAAAAAUACAAAUAAUAUUGUUUAUUGAUACUAAUCAAGCUUAGAAAUGGUGAAAAUUAUUUUUAAGAAAAUUUAAAAAUUAAAACACUAAGUAAUUGUAAAAGGUACGAAUAAUGUGAUGAAUGGUACAAAAAAUGUGAGGAAUCCUCACAUUCUUAGCACCCUUCGUCACAUUCUUUUUACUUUAAAAUUUUUUACAAAUUUUCAAACUUUUCAAUUUUUUUUCCACAUGGAAAUACAAUAAUAUUAUUUAUUGAUACUAAUUAAGCUUAGAAAUGUCUUACAAAGUUCGUACCCUCUCUUAGAAAGUUUUUACACUCUCUUAGAAAGUUCGAACACUCUCUUAGAAAGGUCGUACCAUCUCUUAGAAAGUUCGUACAAUCUCUUAAAAAGUUCGUACACUCUCUUAAAAAGUUCGUACAAUCUCUUAGAAAGUUCGUACUCUCUCUUAAAAAGUUCGUACACUCUCUUAGAAAGUUCGUACACUCUCUUAAAAAUUUCGUACCAUCUCUUAGAAAGUUUGUACCCUCUCUUAGAAAGUUCGUACCCUCUCUUAGAAAGUUCGUACACUCUCUUAGAAAGUUCGUACACUGUCUUAGAAAGUUAGUACUCUCUUUUAGAAAGUUUGUACCAUCUCUUUCGUACCAUCUCUUAGAAAGUUCGUACCCUCUCUUAGAAAGUUCGUACCUCGUCUUAGAAAGUUCGUACCAUCUCUUAGAAAGUUCGUACAAUCUCUUAGAAAGUUUAUACCAUCUCUUAGAAAGUUCGUACCAUCUCUUAUAAAGUUCGUACCAUCUCUUAGAAAAUUUGUACCCACUUUUAGAAAGUUCGUACUAUCUCUUACAAAGUUCGUACUAUCUCUUAGAAAGUUCAUACCCUUUCUUAGAAAGUUCGUACCCUCUCUUAGAAAGUUCGUACCAUCUCUUAGAAAGUUCGUACCCUCUCUUAGAAAGUUCGUACAUCAUCUUAGAAAGUUCAUACCAUAUCUUAGAAAGUUCGUACCCUCUCUUAGAAAGUUCGUACUCUUUCUUAGAAAGUUCGUACCAUCUCUUAGAAAGUUCGUACACUCUCUUAGAAAGUUCGUGCUCACUCUUAGAAAGUCAGUACUAUCUCUUACAAAGUUCGUACUAUGUCUUACAAAGUUCGUACCCUCUCUUAGAAAGUUCGUACUAUCUCUUAGAAAGUUCAUACUUUUUCUUAGAAAGUUUGUACCCUCUCUUAGAAAGUUCGUGCUCACUCUUAGAAAGUCAAUACUAUCUCUUACAAAGUUCGUACUAUGUCUUACAAAGUUCGUACCCUCUCUUAGAAAGUUCGUACUAUCUCUUAGAAAGUUCAUACUUUUUCUUAGAAAGUUCGUACCCUCUCUUAGAAAGUUCGUACCAUAUUUUAGAAAAUUCAUACCCCGUCUUAGAAAAUUCGUACCCCGUCUUAGAAAGUUCGUACCCCGUCUUAAAAAGUUCGUACCAUCUUUUAGAAAGUUCGUACCAUCUCUUAGAAAGUUCGUACCAUCUCUUAGAAAGUUCGUACCAUUUCUUACAAAAUAUUGAUGACAAUUUCAUAACAAAUGACUAAAUGCUCUCAAUUUGAUUAAUAAUAACUCAGAAAAAAAUUAAAAAAUCUAGAUGUUAUAAAUCAUUACAUAUUUAAAUGUCAUUUAACAUGACAUUUCUACCUACAAAAGUUAUAUGUAAAUGGAAAAAAAAAAAAUCAAAUAUUACCUUUUAACACUUGUAAUCACUUGACAUCCUUCAAGACAUAUAAAGUUUCAUCUUCAAAUUUAAUCUAUGAACAAAAAAAGAAAAAUUAUAUAAAAAUAUUAAUAACAAUUUGAUAACAAAAUUUUAUAAUAAACUCAUAAAAAAUUCUAAAAUCGUUAUUUAACAUCACAUUUCUUCCUACAACAAUUAUAUUUGGAUAAAAAAAUAUCAAAUAUUACCUUUGACACUUCUAAUCACUUGAAAUCCUUUAUCUUCUUCAUAUAAUACAAAUUUUAAAUUUUCUCUCUCAAAAAGUUUUAAACUUGAUCUUGAAAUUUGAUUCAUCAAAAUACAUCUUACAUAUUUUGUAAUUUGGUAGUUGAAAUUAUUUAAUUUUCAUAUUAAAUUACUGUCCUUUUAUAUAUAUAUAUAUAUAUAUAUAUAUAUAUAUAUAUAUAUAUAUAUGAAUAAUGAGAGUAUAAGAGUAAUUGGUAGGAUUUUCUUUUUUUAGAUAGAGUUAGGCAAUGCAUUAAAUAACAAAUUAUAUUUGUUAUUUAAUAAUAAAUUAUAAAAAAGUUGUAAUAUUUAGAUAUAUAUGAAAUGCAUGCGAUUAUUUCUCACCAACAAAUCAUUUUUACCUGUUUGAUAAGUUUUUAUAAAUUUUUUAAUGAUAUAUACUUUACACAUGUCAUUUUUUUAUUAUGGUCAAAUGUGAUAGGUAUCCCAAAAUAAAGAGUGGGUACCAAAGACUUUGAGGUAACCAUUUCUAUGAGAAAACCCUCAUCUCUCGUGAAGGAUGUGUCCCCAUAUACUAAUCCCAUUUAUAAGUCAUUUAGUUUCCUUAUUGGUGGUUUACUGAUUCCAAGUAAAAUUCAUGACAUCUAAGCAGAAAGAAUAUUAUGUAAAGGGCAAAAUUCAGUCAAAGCCAUGGAACUUCAUUCAAAGCGUAGGAAAAUGGUUACACGCUCUUCAUUUCGUACUUUCCUCUUCUUUAGAUAUAUAUAUAUAAAGAAAUAUAUAUAUAUAUAUAUAUAUAUAUAUAUAUAUAUAUCCAUCACAUGUCUCCCUACUCUUCAACCCAUAAUCAGUCCUUCAAAGCCUCGAGAUCCGAUACUCACAGCAGCAGAACCUGUACCACUGAGGCUAGAUCGCAUAGCCAGUGAGCAUGACAACCAUUCAAUCAUCAUCUCUUCUUUUUUCUUCUUUUUCUUCUUCUUCUGCUUCAGAUAUUCCCAGAGACAUCAGAGCAGCUGCCUCAAAAUCCCGGGCAAGCCAUCUUUCAGUUUUGAAACUUCCUUCUGGAAACUUGGUUCAUGAACCGAGCAGGAAAAAUGGCUUCCAAACCAUAAAUUCUGGAGAAAUGAAGCCUCUUAUUAGGACUAAUAUGAGAAAUGAUGAAGCAAACUGUAAUUCAAAGGUGGUUGAGGAGCUUUAUGCCAUAAUGGAAGCUGUUGCGGACAGAUCAGAAAUGCACAAAAAUAUUGGUGUGCAGCGCGAUAAUUGGAACCGUCUUCUCCUCAACUCUGUAAAUGGAAUGACAUUCACAGCUGCGACAAUGGCUGGACUUGCAUCUCUGAGUGGUGGGGGUGCAACACUUUUGGCCUUGAAGCUCUCUUCCACCCUACUCUACACAGCAGCUACUGGGAUUUUGAUGGUGAUGAACAAGAUUCAGCCAUCUCAGCUUGCAGAAGAGCAAAGGAAUGCAGCUAGACUGUUUAAGAACCUUCACCAGCAAAUCAAGACUGUUGUUGCAGUUGGAAGCCCCAGUUUGAAUGAUGUGAACGCUGCAAUGGACAAGGUGUUGGCGCUGGACAAGGCCUAUCCCCUUCCCUUGCUAGGGACGAUGCUCGAGAAGUUCCCAAAAACUGUGGAGC
rnacentral:lncRNA from 1 species